rnacentral:misc_RNA from 1 species
CUGAGAUGCUGGGUCAAAAUCCAUCCUGUGAAAGCUCAAGCACCUGAUCAACCAGGAAGCGUGAUACUUGCAAAAGAACCAGUUCUUCAAGCAAAUUUUGCUCGUGCUGUUGCAUCUCUCAGCAAGGCACAAGCCAAGAAGGUUGCUCGAUUCCUUCCAAAUCCUGAAAGGCAUUGGGGGCCAAAACUUAGGGCAGGUCGUCAAAUUACGAGGAAACAUGUCUCUCUUUUGGGUCCAGAGGCUGUGAAUGGACAUCUUAACCAUGAAAACGGCGAAGAACCUGAAGCCAAGCGUCAAAAAACUGAGGAAAUGGAGGCUUCUAUGUCAAUUUCAUGAGAAUGGAGCUGUUUUAUAGUACUAAACCUGAACUGGUCCAUUGUCAGAAUAGAUUUUCUGCUGAGAGAAGGCCUCAUACACCCCCCAAGUAAUGAAAUUUAAUGAAAUUUCAAAAUGCCAUUGAAGUUGACAACUGUGGCAGAACUAGCAGCAAUCUUGCGCCAAUUUUGAGUUUGAUGUAAGAUGUUAUUUGUUUCAUGCUAUUAAUAUUUAUUGACUUGCUAUUUUGUUGUGACCAUUUGCCUUUUUUGUUACCCUUAUGAAAGAUCAAAGGAUAUUCAAGUUGAGGAAUGUUAUUAACAUUUUUUCGUACUUUCAUUUAACUAGAAACCUUUGUAUUGACGUUUUUUUUUUUUU